UACAGAGGGGGCAAGCGUUGUUCGGAAUUACUGGCGUAAAGGGCGCGUAGGCGGCCUGCUAAGUCGAACGUGAAAUCCCCGGGCUCAACCCGGGAACUGCGUCCGAUACUGGCAGGCUUGAAUCCGGGAGAGGGAUGUGGAAUUCCAGGUGUAGCGGUGAAAUGCGUAGAGUAUCUGGAGGAACACCGGUGGCGAAGGCGGCAUCCUGGACCGGUAUUGACGCUGAUGCGCGAAAGCCAGGGGAGCAAACA
rnacentral:rRNA from 1 species